rnacentral:rRNA from 1 species
AACGAACGCUGGCGGCAGGCUUAACACAUGCAAGUCGAACGCAUCGCAAGAUGAGUGGCAGACGGGUGAGUAACGCGUGGGAGCAUACCCUUUUCUACGGAAUAGCUCUGGGAAACUGGAAUUAAUACCGUAUACGCCCUACGGGGGAAAGAUUUAUCGGGGAAGGAUUGGCCCGCGUUGGAUUAGCUAGUUGGUGGGGUAAAGGCCUACCAAGGCGACGAUCCAUAGCUGGUCUGAGAGGAUGAUCAGCCACAUUGGGACUGAGACACGGCCCAAACUCCUACGGGAGGCAGCAGUGGGGAAUAUUGGACAAUGGGCGCAAACCUGAUCCAGCCAUGCCGCGUGAGUGAUGAAGGCCUUAGGGUUGUAAAGCUCUUUCACCGAUGAAGAUAAUGACGGUAGUCGGAGAAGAAGCCCCGGCUAACUUCGUGCCAGCAGCCGCCGUAACAC